rnacentral:piRNA from 1 species
UAUUAUGAUGUUUGUUUUGUA